rnacentral:rRNA from 1 species
UACAGAGGGGGCAAGCGUUAUUCGGAAUUAUUGGGCGUAAAAGGGGCGCGUAGGCGGCUUGGCAAGUGGAUGGUGAAAUCCCUCGGCUUAACCGAGGAACUGCCGUCCAAACUGCUUAGCUUGAGACCGGGAGAGGUGAGUGGAAUUCCCAGUGUAGCGGUGAAAUGCGUAGAUAUUGGGAGGAACACCAGUGGCGAAGGCGGCUCACUGGACCGGUACUGACGCUGAGGCGCGAAAGCGUGGGAGCAACGGG